GCCUACGGCCAUACCACCCUGAAAGCGCCCGAUCUCGUCUGAUCUCGGAAGUUAAGCAGGGGAGGGCCUGGUUAGUACCUGGAUGGGAGAUCGCCUGGGAAUACCAGGUGUUGUAGGCU
rnacentral:rRNA from 1 species